rnacentral:rRNA from 1 species
CCCCGGUAAACGGCGGCCGUAACUAUAACGGUCCUAAGGUAGCGAAAUUCCUUGUCGGGUAAGUUCCGACCUGCACGAAUGGCGUAAUGAUGGCCAGGCUGUCUCCACCCGAGACUCAGUGAAAUUGAACUCGCUGUGAAGAUGCAGUGUACCCGCGGCAAGACGGAAAGACCCCGUGAACCUUUACUAUAGCUUGACACUGAACAUUGAGCCUUGAUGUGUAGGAUAGGUGGGAGGCUUUGAAGUGUGGACGCCAGUCUGCAUGGAGCCGACCUUGAAAUACCACCCUUUAAUGUUUGAUGUUCUAACGUGGACCCGUAAUCCGGGUUGCGGACAGUGUCUGGUGGGUAGUUUGACUGGGGCGGUCUCCUCCUAAAGAGUAACGGAGGAGCACGAAGGUUGGCUAAUCCUGGUCGGACAUCAGGAGGUUAGUGCAAUGGCAUAAGCCAGCUUGACUGCGAGCGUGACGGCGCGAGCAGGUGCGAAAGCAGGUCAUAGUGAUCCGGUGGUUCUGAAUGGAAGGGCCAUCGCUCAACGGAUAAAAGGUACUCCGGGGAUAACAGGCUGAUACCGCCCAAGAGUUCAUAUCGACGGCGGUGUUUGGCACCUCGAUGUCGGCUCAUCACAUCCUGGGGCUGAAGUAGGUCCCAAGGGUAUGGCUGUUCGCCAUUUAAAGUGGUACGCGAGCUGGGUUUAGAACGUCGUGAGACAGUUCGGUCCCUAUCUGCCGUGGGCGCUGGAGAACUGAGGG